rnacentral:rRNA from 1 species
AAUCAACGCUGGCGGCGUGCCUCAGACAUGCAAGUCGAACGCGAAAGGCUCCUUCGGGAGCCCGGUAGAGUGGCGCACGGGUGAGUAACACGUGGGUAAUUUACCUUCGGGUGGGGAAGUAACAGCCGGAACGGCUGCUAAUACCGCAUAAUGCAGCGGCACCACAUGGUGACAGUUGUUAAAGUGGGGGAGUCGCAAGACCUCACGCCUGAAGAGAAG